UUCAGUGCAAAGCCUGUAAGAUGAAUGUGCACAAGCACUGUGAGAAUAAUGUGGCUCCUAGCUGUGAAUGAAUCAAUGAAGUUCAGAGUCUGGGAGAAGAUGCAAGAGAUUGUUCAAUAAACUCCUGUGACUCUGGAUCCCAACACUGCACACCCAAAACUCAUCCUCAGUUCCUCAGAUAUGGAGGAGAUGGGAUAGAAU